rnacentral:rRNA from 1 species
UACGUAGGGGGCUAGCGUUGUCCGGAAUCAUUGGGCGUAAAGCGCGUGUAGGCGGUCCGGUAAGUCCGCUGUGAAAGUCGGGGGCUCAACCCUCGAAUGCCGGUGGAUACUGUCGGGCUAGAGUGCGGAAGAGGCGAGUGGAAUUCCUGGUGUAGCGGUGAAAUACGCAGAUAUCAGGAGGAACACCAAUUGCGAAGGCAGCUCGCUGGGACGUUACUGACGCUGAGACGCGAAAGCGUGGGGAGCAAACAGG